AGGCAACGAAGCGUGGACGCCAGUCUGCGCGGAGCCAUCCUUGAAAUACCACCCUUUAACGUUUGAUGUUCUAACCCGGGUCCGUAAUCCGGAUCGGGGACCGUGUCUGGUGGGUAGUUUGACUGGGGCGGUCUCCUCCCAAAGAGUAACGGAGGAGCACGAAGGUUGGCUAAGCAUGGUCGGACAUCAUGCGGUUAGUGCAAAGGCAUAAGCCAGCUUGACUGCGAGAGUGACGGCUCGAGCAGGUACGAAAGUAGGUCUUAGUGAUCCGGUGGUUCUGAAUGGAAGGGCCAUCGCUCAACGGAUAAAAGGUACUCCGGGGAUAACAGGCUGAUACCGCCCAAGAGUUCAUAUCGACGGCGGUGUUUGGCACCUCGAUGUCGGCUCAUCACAUCCUGGGGCUGAAGUAGGUCCCAAGGGUAUGGCUGUUCGCCAUUUAAAGUGGUACGCGAGCUGGGUUUAGAACGUCGUGAGACAGUUCGGUCCCUAUCUGCCGUGGGCGCUGGAAGAUUGAGAGGGGUUGCUCCUAGUACGAGAGGACCGGAGUGAACGCACCACUGGUGUACGGGUUGUGAUGCCAAUUGCAUUGCCCGGUAGCUAAGUGCGGAAGAGAUAACCGCUGAAAGCAUCUAAGCGGGAAACUUGCCUCGAGAUGAGUCUUCCCUGAUUCCCAGAGAAUCCUGAAGGAACGUUUGAGACUAAGACGUUGAUAGGCUGGGUGUGUAAGCGCAGCGAUGCGUUGAGCUGACCAGUACUAAUGAACCGAGAGGCUUAACCUG
rnacentral:rRNA from 1 species